rnacentral:rRNA from 1 species
AGUGGGGGAUAACGGCUCGAAAGGGUCGCUAAUACCGCAUACGUCCUACGGGAGAAAGAGGGGGAUCUUCGGACCUCUUGCUAAUAGAUGAGCCUAGGCCGGAUUAGCUAGUUGGUAGGGUAAAGGCCUACCAAGGCGACGAUCCGUAGCUGGUCUGAGAGGAUGAUCAGCCACACUGGAACUGAGACACGGUCCAGACUCCUACGGGAGGCAGCAGUGGGGAAUAUUGGACAAUGGGGGCAACCCUGAUCCAGCCAUGCCGCGUGUGUGAAGAAGGCCUUCGGGUUGUAAAGCACUUUAAGCGAGGAGGAAGGUCUUUGAACUAAUAUUUCAAAGAAUUGACGUUACUCGCAGAAUAAGCACCGGCUAACUCUGUGCCAGCAGCCGCGGUAAUACAGAGGGUGCAAGCGUUAAUCGGAAUUACUGGCGUAAAGCGCGCGUAGGCGGUAUGUUAAGUCGGAUGUGAAAUCCCUGGGCUCAACCUAGGCAUUGCAUCCGAUACUGGCACACUAGAGUGUGGGAGAGGAAGGUAGAAUUCCAGGUGUAGCGGUGAAAUGCGUAGAGAUCUGGAGGAAUACCGAUGGCGAAGGCAGCCUUCUGGCCUAACACUGACGCUGAGGUGCGAAAGCAUGGGGAGCAAACAGGAUUAGAUACCCUGGUAGCCCAUGCCGUAAACGAUGUCAACUAGCCGUUGGGCUCCUUGAGGGCUUAGUGGCGCAGCUAACGCGAUAAGUUGACCGCCUGGGGAGUACGGUCGCAAGACUAAAACUCAAAUGAAUUGACGGGGGCCCGCACAAGCGGUGGAGCAUGUGGUUUAAUUCGAUGCAACGCGAAGAACCUUACCUGGCCUUGACAUGUCUGGAAUCCUGCAGAGAUGCGGGAGUGCCUUCGGGAAUCAGAACACAGGUGCUGCAUGGCUGUCGUCAGCUCGUGUCGUGAGAUGUUGGGUUAAGUCCCGCAACGAGCGCAACCCUUUUCUUUACUUGCCAGCGGGUAAUGCCGGGAACUUUAAAGAUACUGCCGGUGACAAACCGGAGGAAGGCGGGGACGACGUCAAGUCAUCAUGGCCCUUACGGCCAGGGCUACACACGUGCUACAAUGGUCGGUACAAAGGGUUGCUAACCCGCGAGGGCAUGCUAAUCUCAAGAAGCCGAUCGUAGUCCAGAUUGGAGUCUGCAACUCGGCUCCAUGAAGUCGGAAUCGCUAGUAAUCGCGGAUCAGAAUGCCGCGGUGAAUACGUUCCCGGGCCUUGUACACACCGCCCGUCACACCAUGGGAGUUUGUUGCACCAGAAGUAGUUAGCCUAACCGCAAGGAGGGCGAUUACCACGGUGUGGCCAAUGACUGGGGUGAAGUCGUAACAAGGUA